AGGAUGAACGCUGGCGGCGUGCCUAACACAUGCAAGUCGAACGUCCUGUCUCGCAAGAGGCAGGGAGUGGCGGACGGGUGAGUACCACGUGGGUCAUCUACCGUGAGGUGAGGAAUACCGGCGAGAAAUCGCCGACAAGACCGCAUAGGCUCGAUGCAAGUCGAGCAAAGCUCUUUCGAGAGAGGGAGCGCCACACGAGGAGCCUGCGCCCGAUUAGCUAGCUGGUGGAGUAACGGUUCACCAGGGCGACGAUCGGUAGCUGGUCUGAGAGGACGAUCAGCCACACUGGGAUUGAGAACGGCCCAGACUCCUACGGGGGGCAGCAGUGAGGAAUUUCGUCAAUGGGGGCAACCCUGAACGAGCAACGCCGCGUGCAGGAAGAAGGUUUCGGAUCGUAAACUGCUUUUCUCGGGAAGAGAAUGGACGGUACCCGAGGAAUCAGCCCCGGCUAACUACGUGCCAGCAGCCGC
rnacentral:rRNA from 1 species